rnacentral:misc_RNA from 1 species
UGUUAUAUGUUUGCAGGCAAAUAACCCAUUGGAGAAACAAGUCAAAGAAGGGUCGUAUAAAUUUCCGAACAACCUCUGGAAGAAUGUUAGCAGUGAAGCUAAGGAUCUUAUAACAAAACUGCUUACUGUUGGUCACAGAAAAUGCAUCACGGUUUCAGAAGCUCUGGAACAUCCUUGGAUGAAGGAUAAAGAAAUGAUAGAAAAAGCAGAAAAAAUGAUAAAACCGACCGAGGAUGGAAGAUCAAUGUCUCCGCCCUUAUAAAAGGUAUGUUGAAAACUACGAUACUUGUCCCGUUCUUCCGUCCAAUGACCCUUAUUUUCAACUCGCAAUUGCAAUGAAACAUUACAUGUUUGCAAGUUACAUCGAAAUUUAACCAGCUUUCCGAAACAAUCUCAAGGCGC